CCUACGGGGGGCAGCAGUGGGGAAUAUUGGACAAUGGGCGAAAGCCUGAUCCAGCCAUGCCGCGUGUGUGAAGAAGGCCUUCGGGUGGUAAAGCACUUUCAGUGGGGAAGAAAGCCUUGGGGCUAAUACCCUCGAGGAAGGACAUCACCCACAGAAGAAGCACCGGCUAACUCCGUGCCAGCAGCCGCGGUAAUACGGAGGGUGCGAGCGUUAAUCGGAAUUACUGGGCGUAAAGCGCGCGUAGGCGGUCUGAUAAGCCGGUUGUGAAAGCCCCGGGCUCAACCUGGGAACGGCAUCCGGAACUGUCAGGCUAGAGUGCAGGAGAGGAAGGUAGAAUUCCCGGUGUAGCGGUGAAAUGCGUAGAGAUCGGGAGGAAUACCAGUGGCGAAGGCGGCCUUCUGGACUGACACUGACGCUGAGGUGCGAAAGCGUGGGUAGCAAACAGGAUUAGAUACCCGAGUAGUC
rnacentral:rRNA from 1 species